UACGUAGGGUGCAAGCGUUAAUCGGAAUUACUGGGCGUAAAGCGUGCGCAGGCGGUUAUGUAAGACAGGUGUGAAAUCCCAGGGCUUAACCUUGGAACUGCAUUUGUGACUGCAUAGCUAGAGUACGGCAGAGGGGGAUGGAAUUCCGCGUGUAGCAGUGAAAUGCGUAGAUAUGCGGAGGAACACCGAUGGCGAAGGCAGUCCCCUGGGCCUGUACUGACGCUCAUGCACGAAAGCGUGGGGAGCAAACAGG
rnacentral:rRNA from 1 species